rnacentral:tRNA from 1 species
ACCGCGAAAGCUCAGCAAGUAGAGCAUUCGCCUGGUAAGCAGAAUGUCGCCGGUUCUAUUCCGGCUCGUGGUG